CGGACGGGUGAGUAACACGUGGAUAACCUACCUAUAAGACUGGGAUAACUUCGGUAAACCGGAGCUAAUACCGGAUAAUAUAUUGAACCGCAUGGUUCAAUAGUGAAAGACGGUUUUGCUGUCACUUAUAGAUGGAUCCGCGCCGCAUUAGCUAGUUGGUAAGGUAACGGCUUACCAAGGCAACGAUGCGUAGCCGACCUGAGAGGGUGAUCGGCCACACUGGAACUGAGACACGGUCCAG
rnacentral:rRNA from 1 species